GACGAACGCUGGCGGCGUGCUUAACACGUGCAAGUCGAGCGGUAAGGCCCUUUCGGGGGUACGACGAGCGGCGAACGGGUGAGUAACACGUGGGUGACCUGCCCUCAGCUCUGGGAUAAGCCUGGGAAACCGGGUCUAAUACUGGAUAUGACUCCAUGACGCAUGUUGUGGGGUGGAAAGCCUUGUGCGGCUGAGGAUGGGCCCGCGGCCUAUCAGCUUGUUGGUGGGGUGANGGCCUACCAAGGCGACGACGGGUAGCCGGCCUGAGAGGGCGACCGGCCACACUGGGACUGAGACACGGCCCAGACUCCUACGGGAGGCAGCAGUGGGGAAUCUUGCGCAAUGGGCGAAAGCCUGACGCAGCGACGCCGCGUGAGGGAUGACGGCCUCGG
rnacentral:rRNA from 1 species